GGGAGUUAUUGAGUUUAACAGUCACUCCUUACCUGGCUUUUCUCUAAGCUAGAAAGGGGGACUUUUGUUCUAUCAUCUUCUGGGAAUAGACUAAUCUUGAGGAAAGAUUAGGAAAGUCCUGGGUGUGGAGAACUGCCUUGGAUAUCUGUCUUUCCCUGAAGUUCUGAGACCAGUCUGGCUGAGACAACUUUGUUAAGAAUUAGAGAUGAGGAAAACAAUGUCUGAGCAGAAGGUUCUGCCUACCCUGGUUCUCUGACAAAAUCCCUUUACUGUACUUAUUGAGAGAAAGAGCGUGAGAGACAGAUGGAAAGAUGCAGAAAGAAAGAGGUAAAGAUGGAAACAUUAGCAGAACAGAAGUACCAGCUGCAGCAAAAUAGAAGUGUCCUGAGGGUGAAAGAGAUUCAUUUGGGACUUUAUUUCUCUUUCCAGAAGAGAAGAGAUGGCCAAACCAUUAUGACUCAUUUCACAGAACAAGGAUUGAAGCAUAUGGAAAGUAAUUACAUUCAAAAUAUGCUAGAAAGUGAUUUCAUGAAUAAAGAUACAUCCCUCUCUACUCAAACUGACAGGCAGAGGCAAAAGAGCCAAAACAGAAAUGGAAAAGAAUCUCAGAGGCUAUGUAGUCCAACCCACACCUGCAGAAAAUUUUCAGCUACAACAUAUGAAAAAAAUAGUCAUCUAGAUUCUACUCACAAUUGUUUAUAAUUCUAAAAGAGUAUUUCAUAGAGACAUUCAGUAAAUAAACAUUUAUUCAAUACCUACUAUAUUUCA
rnacentral:lncRNA from 1 species